rnacentral:rRNA from 1 species
UUGAACGCUGGCGGCAGGCCUAACACAUGCCAGUCGAGCGGAUGAAGGGAGCUUGCUCCUGGAUUCAGCGGCGGACGGGUGAGUAAUGCCUAGGAAUCUGCCUGGUAGUGGGGGAUAACGUCCGGAAACGGGCGCUAAUACCGCAUACGUCCUGAGGGAGAAGUGGGGGAUCUUCGGACCUCACGCUAUCAGAUGAGCCUAGGUCGGAUUAGCUAGUUGGUGGGGUAAAGGCCUACCAAGGCGACGAUCCGUAACUGGUCUGAGAGGAUGAUCAGUCACACUGGAACUGAGACACGGUCCAGACUCCUACGGGAGGCAGCAGUGGGGAAUAUUGGACAAUGGGCGAAAGCCUGAUCCAGCCAUGCCGCGUGUGUGAAGAAGGUCUUCGGAUUGUAAAGCACUUUAAGUUGGGAGGAAGGGCAGUAAGUUAAUACCUUGCUGUUUUGACAUUACCAACAGAAUAAGCACCGGCUAACUUCGUG